rnacentral:misc_RNA from 1 species
GAUGAAGAACGUAGCGAAAUGCGAUAAGUAAUGCGAAUUGCAGAAUUUCCGUGAGUCAUCGAAUCUUUGAACGCACAUUGCGCCCACUGGUAUUCCGGUGGGCAUGCCUGUUCGAGCGUCAUUAUCCUCCCUCAAACCUCGGGUUUGGUGUUGGACCCAAGUUGUGUGAACAACUGGUCUUAAAGACAAUGACGGCGUCCGUGGGACCCUCGGUGCAACGAGCUUUUAGGAGCACGCGCCGAGUUUCAAGGACCUUCCGGGCCGGUCUCCUUUACCAUUUUACAAGGUUGACCCCGGAUCAGGUAGGAAUACCCGCUGAACUUAAGCAUAUCAAUAAGCGGAGGA